rnacentral:tRNA from 1 species
UCCUCCGUGGCGCAAUUGGCUAGCGCGUCUGACUGUUACUUCACAUACGUGAUGGCAAUCAGGAGGUUGACAGUUCAAGCCUGUCCGGGGGAG